rnacentral:lncRNA from 1 species
GGAGUCUCGUUCUGUCACCCAGGCUGGAGUGCAGUGGCAUGAUCACAGCUCACUGCAACCUCUGCCUCCCAGGUUCAAGCAGUUCUCUGCCUCAGCCUCCCGAGUAGCUGGGAUUACAGGCGUCCGCCACCACGCCCGGCUAAUUUUUGUAUUUUUAGUAGAAACGGGGUUUCACCAUCUCGGCCAGGCUGGUCUUGAACUCCUGACCUCAUGAUCCAUCCGCCUUGGCCUCCCAAAGUGCUGGGAUUACAGGCAUGAGCUACCGCGCCCGGCCUUGGCUGCAGAUUAACGGGAAUACCUCCCUUGGGCUUCCUAGGUGACACUGUGAUAUUCGGUAUGACCUCCCUUGCUCUAUUCCUUGGAAGAAGUACAGGCACUGGUCAAGAGUGCCCGGGACCCACAUUGCCUGGUUUUGAAUCCCAGCACCUCCACAUGUUACGCGUCGGACCUCCAGGAAGUUACUUAAACUCUCUGUGCUUCAGUUUCCCGAGUGGCCUAACCCUAAGGGGGGUUACAGAACCUGCCUCAUAGUGUUGAUUGGAAGAAAUAAAGGAGCUCAGACCUGCCAAGGGCUGAGGAUGGUGCCUAUCUAGCACAUGGCAAUGCUCCAUAAGCAUAAGCAGCUAUUAUUAUUGUGGUUCCUAUUUUUUAAAUCAGAUAUAUCCUGCGGAGCCACUAGCAGAAUGUGCUAAAUAGCUGUCUGGUGAAUGAAAGAAUGACCAAAUGGUCCUGUAUUUCCUUAUCUAGAUCAUCUCUAAACACCUUCUAAUGGUAUGGUUUCAGACCUAAAUCUUCCCACAAAUCUUUACGGAUGCAGUAACUUUUGUUAAAUCCCUUCGCCCCAACUUUUCAUCUACCCUCUGACAACAAAAGCUGGGAAAUAGAGGGAAGCAAAGGAAUCAUGUACGGCUGAUGGGAUUUAGACAGCACAGAGCAAGUGGUUAGGUUUAAAGAACGUCAUCCAAAUACCCUGGCAGGAAACCUUGUAUACUGACAGUUGCAAUAUGUGUAAGAAAAGAAUGCAUCCAAUGGUAUCCUCAAUUAAUUAAUUAAUUAAUUAAUUUUUGAGACAGUCUCUCUCUGUCGCCCAGGCUGGAGUGCAAUGGUGCAAUCUCAGCUCACUGCAACCUCCACCUCCUGGGUUCAAGUGAUUCUCCUGCCUCAGCCUCCUGAAUAGCUGGGACUACAGGCGUAUGCCACCACG